UUGUGCCUGAACGCGUUCAUUGAACGAUAGUUCAUGAACUCGUUCAUAUUUUCGGCAAACGUGAACUGAACGUACUGUAUUACUGCCUGAUGAACGUUACUGUGAACUCGUUCAUUCUGGUGUCUGUGAACGGCACGCUCACUCGGUUUAACUUUGUUCAAUAGGGGGAUUAUUUGUUUAUCAACACGGCGGAUGCGUGCGCAGAAUGAUCGCCAAAAGAAAAUUUGUUUGACCGGUUGCCAUGGUUAUCUCUGUGUGGUUCAUUUGCAGUUGCGGUGUUGUCAGCUUACUGUUACAUUAAACUGUAAUCAGAAAACGUGGUUAUAUGCUAUAGACCCUAUAGUAUCUGUGGUAUAAAGGCUGGGACGAAUUUCAAAUUAUAAAUAUGUACACUUUAUGUUGAAAUAUAGGCCGUCGCGAUUCCAAUUGAAACGAAUGGCGCGGUGAAUAGUCUUCAAAAUGAGAGCUGGUAAAUUGGGUAGAAUGGAUAAAACUGUUAUCAGACAACGCGGUUAUAUGCUAUAUAGACCCUAGAGAGUAUCUGUGGUAUAAAGGCUGGGACGAAUUUCGAAUUUAAAUAUGUAGCUACAAUGUAUCCUUUAAAUACGACCAUGGAACAGAUGGCCAAUGUGAAUAAUAGAUACGUGUGUGGACCGCUGAAGAGGUAAAACUUUUCCUUGCGCUUAUCGAAGAAAAAAACAUUACAGCUAUUUUAGAUGGAAAACAACAACGCAAUUCCACUAUAUAUCAGGACCUAAGAGAGAGCAUGUUAUCAAAAGGAUACGACAAGCCCUGGAAUGUGUGCAGGUUUCCGCUCCAACCACUUGAUGGAAACGCACCUAAUUCGAAUUUCUUUUUUGCGAACUUUCUAAAGAUUUGCUUCACCUU